rnacentral:rRNA from 1 species
AUUGAACGCUGGCGGCACGCUUAACACAUGCAAGUCGAACGGCAUCAUGGCGAGUACUUGUACACGCUGAUGGCGAGUGGCGGACGGGUGAGUAAUGCACAGGAAUCUGUCCUAGAGAGGGGGAUAACUCGGGGAAACUUGAGCUAAUACCGCGUACGCUCUAAGGAGGAAAGCCUGGGACUCGAAAGGGCCAGGCGCUCUAGGAGGAGCCUAUGUCUGAUUAGUUAGUUGGUGGGGUAACUGCCUACCAAGACAAAGAUCGGUAGCUGGUCUGAGAGGACGGACAGCCACACUGGGACUGAGACACGGCCCAGACUCCUACGGGAGGCAGCAGUGGGGAAUAUUGGACAAUGGGGGAAACCCUGAUCCAGCGAUGCCGCGUGUGUGAAGAAGGCUUGCGGGUUGUAAAGCACUUUAGAUGGAGAAGAUGGGGAGCUAUGCGAAUAGUUUAGCUUCUUGACGUUAUCCAUAGAAUAAGCACCGGCUAACUCUGUGCCAGCAGCCGCCGUAA